UGGGGAAUAUUGCACAAUGGGCGCAAGCCUGAUGCAGCCAUGCCGCGUGUAUGAAGAAGGCCUUCGGGUUGUAAAGUACUUUCAGAGGGGAGGAAGGCGAUGUGGUUAAUAACCGCGUCGAUUGACGUUACCCGCAGAAGAAGCACCGGCUAACUCCGUGCCAGCCGCCGCGGUAAUACGGAGGGUGCAAGCGUUAAUCGGAAUUACUGGGCGUAAAGCGCACGCAGGCGGUCUGUCAAGUCGGAUGUGAAAUCCCCGGGCUCAACCUGGGAACUGCAUCCGAAACUGGCAGGCUUGAGUCUCGUAGAGGGGGGUAGAAUUCCAGGUGUAGCGGUGAAAUGCGUAGAGAUCUGGAGGAAUACCGGUGGCGAAGGCGGCCCCCUGGACGAAGACUGACGCUCAGGUGCGAAAGCGUGGGGAGCAAACA
rnacentral:rRNA from 1 species